rnacentral:lncRNA from 1 species
ACACCAAGGAAAGGCCAUGUGAACACUCAGCAAGAAGGUGGCCAUCUACAACUCAAGGGGAGAGCGCUCACCUGACACCAGCCCUAUUGGCAUCCUGAUCUGGGACUUCUAAUCUCCAGAACUGAAUUACAACAUUUUUGGCCUGGAUCGGAACUCUGACAUUGUCAAGUUCACGAUUCCUGAAUAUGCUAAUCAUUAGCUGGCAAUGAAUGUCUUUCUUCAAAAUAUAAAUUCCAGAUCUGGGUUUCUGAUUCGGCAUGUUUUUUGAAGCUCCCGCAAGAGAUUCAGAAGCUCUGCUGGGUUCCUGUCUGUCUGUCUGAAGAAGGCACAGUCUUUGCAGUUGAGGAGGCUCAUCCGGGGAGAGAUUCUGUGCUUCCAAUCACCAGGAAUGAUGUCAAAGUGCAUAAAUCUGUGAGCAGCAAUGAAACUCACUUGGAGGGUCAUUCACAUGAAGAAAAACAUCUAGAACCAAGUGGCUUCAAGCUGCACAUGAAGUGGAAUGUUCCAGGAGCCGUUGUUGACACACAACCAGUACCUGUUCUUAAUAGUUAACACCUGACUCAUUCUCCAACAGCGUGUUUUAAGCUGUGUGAUGAUGGGCUCAGGACUUGCUCAGUUGGAUAGUACAAUUCACUGGAAUAAACGGUACCAAGAGC